rnacentral:tRNA from 1 species
GGGGUUGUGGCUUAGUGGUAGAGCGCUUGCCUAGCACGUGUGAGGCACUGGGUUCAAUUCUCAGCACCA